rnacentral:rRNA from 1 species
AUACGGAGGGGGCAAGCGUUGUGCGGAUUCACUGGGCGUAAAGGGCGUCUAGGUGGCUAUAUAAGUUGGGCGUGAAAGCCCUCGGCUCAACCGGGGAAUAGCGCUCAAAACUGUGUAGCUUGAGUGUAAAAGAGGAGAGUGGAAUUCCUAGUGUAGCGGUGAAAUGCGUAGAUAGUAGGAGGAAUACCAGCGGCGAAGGCGGCUCUCUGGUUUAACACUGACACUAAAGCGCGAAGGCUAGGGGAGCAAACGGGAUUAGAAACCCCGGUAGUCC